rnacentral:rRNA from 1 species
CAGUCGCCGCGGGAAUACGUAGGUGGCAAGCGUUGUCCGGAAUUAUUGGGCGUAAAGGGCUCGCAGGCGGUUUCUUAAGUCUGAUGUGAAAGCCCCCGGCUCAACCGGGGAGGGUCAUUGGAAACUGGGAAACUUGAGUGCAGAAGAGGAGAGUGGAAUUCCACGUGUAGCGGUGAAAUGCGUAGAGAUGUGGAGGAACACCAGUGGCGAAGGCGACUCUCUGGUCUGUAACUGACGCUGAGGAGCGAAUGCGUGGGGAGCGAACAGGAUUAGAUACCCGCGUAGUCCCUGUCUCUUAUAC